rnacentral:lncRNA from 10 species
GAGACUCUGUCUCAAAAAAAAAAAAAAAAUUACGGGAGGGAAAUGAACUAAACCCACAGUAGGAUUUCUGAAGUGCUCUUUUGUAGCCUUUGGAAGAGUUCUUUACUAGGGCAACUUGUUAGUUCAUAAACAGCGCAUAUCUACAUCAAAAUAUUAAUAUCUUCUCAGGAUGCACCUAAAUCUGCAAAAUAAUUUUUAGAAUUACUCCCCACAAGCUGAGGUAUAUUUUCCCACAGCACGGUGCUCCCAUGAACUUACAUUUUAGACCAAUUCAAGUGGGUUAAAUAUUCUUGGUGAAAGUUCUUUUCAGUAUCAACUCCUGAAUCUGGUUUCCAUUGAUGACAUUAGCCAACUUCUCUCUUUUUGAACCGUGUCUCCAUGGUGCAUUGUUGCUGUGAUAUUUGCCUUCCUUUAUUUAAUCGCUCUGGUAAUAGUUGCAGCUAUGGUAGCUAAGAUUCAUUGUCUUAAAGAGAUCCUGAAUAAGGCAACCAUUGAGACUGCACAUUGCAACAUAAUAUCACAAAACAAAGGUAAUUGGUCUUCCUUUGAAGAAAACUGACAUUUUAUAUCUACUGAAAAUAAAAUCUUGGCAUCAAGGAAAUUUGUUCUGAAGCAUUGAGCUCCAGUCCCAUCAAGACCAAUAAUGAAGAAUUGGAAGUGUAUAAUGUGGUAUUCAUUCUUACAUUUUCUUACACAUCAGAUAAUUAUCAAUAGAGAAUUUUUAACAUAUUGUGUUCACUUAAGCAUGCUAAACUCAACAUUUUAUAAAUUGGAGACAUCUCAAUCAAACUCAAAAGAUUAAAAUAUGACCUUAAAAUGAUUUUAGAUUUUAAAUAUAUUUGCAUACAGAAGUAAAUGCAAAUAUAAGAAAUUUCAAAUGUUGGCUAACAAUGGGGGAAAACAUCACAUAGACACAGAAACUAAAGGGAAUCUGGUCACAAGUGGCAACUAAAAAAGAGCUAAUAUUUGUUGAUUGCUUCAAAUAUUCCUGGUACUACAUCAAUGAUUGUGGGCAUUAACUCACGUGUUUUCCCAUUAAUCUUAUGAUACAAGUAUUACCACUGCCAUUGUUGUAUUAAUAAGAAAACCAAGACCCAGAGAGAAUGAUACUUUUUUUCUGGGUAUCAGAAAUAGUAAGAAUUAGAAGCUUAAACUAUGAUUUAAGCUAAAAGAGUCUAACUCUAAAGAUCAGGAACAUAGUCAUUAUGCUUUGCUGAUCCCAGAACAAAAAAUCAUAAUGAAUCAAAUUGUAAGAAUAUUGCUUCUUUGUAAAUAGUCAGAGCUGCUUAUACAAGCAGAUUUACGUUUUUCUACCCUGCAUGUAUCUUCUAAAGAGGAACAGUGAGAAAAAGAAUAAUAGCUCUUCAUAAGGACUAUUUUGAUACUAAUUAUUGUUUGGAAUGUGAAUAAAAGACAUUAACAGCAGUAAUGUUUCCCGCAGUAGAUCCUAGCAAGCCUAAAGAAUAUAGAUGUCUUUUAUAUUUUAGUUCUCCUCUACUAUGUGACUAUUACUUCUAUAUUAUUUCUUCUUUUUCAUUGUAUUGAAGUUCUGUUAUUGCCUUUAAUAAAGACUUCAAUUCAGAUCAAUGAUGGUAAAUUUAUGGCAUAUAUGCUGAAAAUUUCCAUACAGUAUUCUUAGAAGGUGCUCUUCAUAAUUGCAACAUCCUUCCCUACUGAGCCAGACUUCACUUUGAAUAACUUUCAACAGAGCACACCAGAAAGUCUCUUCCAAUUGCAUUACUCUCAUCUCAUCUACAUACGGUGCUUCAAAGUGAACUUGUAUAUACACAUCAGCAAUGAGCUCUUUCAGCAAGAGCAAACAAAAAAUGCAC